rnacentral:rRNA from 1 species
ACGGAGGAUGCAAGCGUUAUCCGGAUUCAUUGGGUUUAAAGGGUGCGCAGGUGGGAAAAUAAGUCAGUGGUGAAAUACUGCCGCUUAACGGUAGAAUUGCCAUUGAUACUGUUUUUCUUGAGUAUGGUUGAGGUAGGUGGAAUGUGUUGUGUAGCGGUGAAAUGCAUAGAUAUGACACAGAACGCCAAUUGCGAAGGCAGCUUACUAAGCCAUUACUGACGCUGAGGCACGAAAGCGUGGGGAUCAAACAG